GCAGCGGUAGCUAAAUCUCAACUGAAAGCCACUUUACUAUCGUCUGCGUUCGUGUAUUUCCUUUGUUCUACUCGUACUAUCAGAGGAAAGGGGUAGAGGCGUUCUCUCGGUCUCCCAAUAUGGCGCCUCGUUCUGCCGCUUUAGUUAUACGGUAUCGACGAUAAGAAGGCACGUCUCGAGCAACGCCGAGAACCUUAUGCCGCAUACCUCGUCCGGCUAAAUACCGAUAGAACCCGUUUUUUCCGCUCUUAUUUUCUUCUACGAGUGUCAUAACUUUCAUACUAUCGUACUUUGCAGUUGGUUUCGUCGAAACGGACAAACGACGCGCAACGAAAUGAAAUUUAUAAGGGAUAAUUUUAAUCGCGGAUAAAACGAUAAUUACUUUUAGCAAAGAAGCAAAGAAAUUUAUAAAAGAC
rnacentral:misc_RNA from 1 species